UCUGUACUAUGGUGACAUUUCUAAAUGCAGGAAUCAGCAUAUGUAUUAAAAACUUUGGUCACAGUUUACAAAGGAGCUUUAAAGUUCAUUGCAAAUGCACAACAUCUUAUCCAUCACUGCAAGUUAUUAUACUCUAUGGCAAAUUGGACCUCAUUACAAAUUGGUACAGAGAUUAAAGCAAUAGUUUGCCACUGUUUUUCAAUUGUGUUUUACAACAGGCUUGGUCAUAUCUCAGUUCCUUUUUUGUCCACAAUUUUACCAUUACACACAUUUGAUUUUCAGUGCUAAGGGGACUGAGAAAGGAAAAAGAAUGUAAUGGUCACAGAAAAACCCACAGAAAACUCUUAAAACUAUAUGCGCUAUUUUACUCAGUUCCAACUAAAUGAUAACUUUGUUGAGGAUUGAAAGGGGUUUUGCCCACAGAAUUUUAUAUUUUAGUGUUUGUAUUGUCCAGUGUAUUGUGCUGUUGUGUAAACUUCUACAUGCUGUGUAAACUGCACUGCUGCUUAUCUUGUCUGGUCUCUCUUGGUCAUUUUAAUCUCAGUAAAACUAAACUGGCUAAAUACAAGUUAAAUUUAAGGUUAAGUUAGAGUAACAUGAAAUGCUCUAUUUUAUUGUCCAAAAAGUUUAAUCGAUUUAUCAAUGAAAGUAGUAGCUGCCAUUCUGUCCUACCCAUCAUAAAAAUAAACCGGCACACACAUAAACAUUUCUAGGCAAAUAGCUGGAAUGCAUUCCUCGACAUGCAAUAUUAGACUGACGUUAUACGUACGACCUUUUUAAAAGCUGUGUAGUCAUCCAUGCCAAACUUGGAGCGUUUAUCAGUUUUGCCCUUUAAAACCAGUCUGCUAAUAGCCGCCUGGUACUGUCAACCCACUCUGGCUGUGUGGAAUUCGUCAUGUAUUUUUCAGCAACAUAAGGGGAGAGCCAGUAAAUAUAACGAAUUAUGAAUGUAACACGGUCAUUAACUUUUUGUACACAGCAGGCAUUGCUACAGUAGGCAUUGAAAGUUUGCACACGGGUAAUUACGUCCUCUACCGAGUGCCAAAAUAACAGAGCAAUUCGACAACCUUCAAGGGAAAUACUUCUAAAAAUAUGUUUUUGAGCGAGACUGUGGGAGGAAACCGGAGUACCCUGAGGAAGCCCACAUGGACACCGGGAGAACAUGCAAGCUCUGCACAGAAACCCAGGACCUUCUUGCUGUGAGCCAACAGUGCUACCCACUGCACCACCAUGCCAACCAGGGUCAACUGUAAUUAUAUAAAUUACUCAUAAGAUGUAAAAAACUACACGGAAGCUUGUGAUGGGCUGGGAUUUUACCAUAUCCCAUUGUUUAUGGUAUUGAUCAUUGCACUGGGUCAGGAAAAUACCCAAGUAUCAAAAGACAUGAAGAAAAUGGCGCUCAAGUGUUUGGCAUUAUGUGUUUUUCCAAAGGGAACCUCUUUGUGAAUAGAAUUCAUUUCUGUCCUCUGUAUCCAAGUGCAAGGUGACUACUUUAUAAAAUGUAUAACUUAAAAAAAGCUUUUCUGUAAAAUCCUGCCUUGCAUAGGAAAGUAGGAGUAAGCUGUGAUCAGUUUAACAAAGAGCCGGAAAUUAUGAAAAUAAUAUGUGAGUAAUAGUUUUUUCCUUUGCUACAAUCUUUUGAUUUGCGCAGUGGAAUACUUGCUACAAGACUGUUUAGUUGUGGCCAUGUAUCAACUUACUGUAUGUGAAAGGUGGUUGCUUCAUGUCCCUCUUGUUCACACAACAGCCCAAUUUACAACCAUUGCCUCAUGCACUGUAAUGGGAUUUCAACAGCAAAAUGUCCUCAUCUGUGAAUCACAAUGGGUGCUAUGGACAGUGACCAGCAAACAAACUGUGCACAAUGGACCGAGCAGACCAAGCGGUAAAUGCUGUGAUGAAAUGCACCAGAAUAAUUUGUUGAUCUUUGUACUUGGGGCAGAAGAACAAAACAGCUUGCAUUAGAUCUUUUGUUUUUCUGAGUGUGAGCUUUAAUAACUGUACAUUAUUCAGACAUGGUGUUCAAGAAACACAGCUUUCAGUUAUCUGAUGAAGGAGUGCUGUUAUGUAAUGUGUUUGAGGUGGCAGGGAUAUUGCUGGGCAAUCCUCCGUGGAAAGAUGAAAAGAUCAACAACAAACGUUCAUUAAUUUGGCUGACACUUUUACAUAAGAACAGUGUGAGUCUAAAUGAUUAAACAUGGUUUGAAAUGUAGGGACAAGCUGUUUGAUAUAAAUGAUAGGACGGUAGGGAGUUUGGGGAGUUGACAGAGAAGUCUCCUAAUGUAAUCCCUUUCUGUGCAACAACAUGGACACCAGGUAACCUUUGGCAUGACAAGGUCGAAUAUGCCUCUUAGGCACUGUCAGUCUUCUGAGAGCCACUGAGGAGGAAGGUGAGCGUUAGAAAGAUGCAUUUAUGUGCUCCUCAUUGGCCAAAACAUGGUGUUUGCAGAAUAAGGUUCAAUGCAUGGUUUAAUGCAUCUGGGGUCGAAGACAUCAUGCAGUAUGUAAACAUUUGUUAAGCCCUACAUUGUGAUUGUGUGAGGUUUUCUACAGCUGACAUACUGUAGGACUGAGCACCUGUGCUAUUAAAAUAAGAACCACAAGUAAUAUAUUCCAGGGGAUGAUUAUGUUUCUGUCAGCAUUACUGCAUCAAUUUUUGAAAAUGAUAUGUCCUUAUUUGUCUGCAGACCAAUUCAGUAUUCAGAAUAUAUAUUUCAGAAUGUUCAUUGAAUCUCCACGAAUAAAGGUCUAGAUUGUGUUUAA